CAGGAUUAACUGCUCCAUCACCUUUCCAGGGAUGGAGGUGAGGCUGACUGGCCUAUAGUUUCCCAGGUCUUCCUUCUUGCCCUUUUUGAAGAUUGGAGUGACAUUUGCUUUUCUCCAGUCCUUGGGCACCCCUCCUGUCCUCCAUGACCUUUCAAAGAUGAUGGAGAAUGGCUCCGCAAGAAUAUCUGCCAGCUCCUUCAGCACUCACGGGUGCAUCCCAUCAGGUCCCAUGGAUUUCCAAGGUUCCAGUUUGCCUAGGGGAUCUCUGACCCAAUCCUCCUCAACCAAGGGGAAGUCCUCCUUUCUCCAGAUGUUCCCUCUCUCUCCUCUGGGGGCUGAGAUGCCUGAGGGCCAGCCUUAGCAAUAAAGACUGAAGCAAAGAAGGCAUUCAGUAACUCUGCCUUCUCUACAUCCUGCGUCACCAGGGCCCCUUCCUUGUUCAGCAGCGGGCCCCCUAUCAGGGAAUACAGAAGUCAAGCUAUAGAUUAAGUCCAACUUCUUUCACCAAUAUUAAAUUCACACAUAAACCUUUCCCCUCCGCUCAAAAUCAUGGUUCAAAACUAAAUGUCAAUCUCUUCAUUCACAUAUUUUUAAGAUAUAUCACACAGAACUUCCCAAAACUCAGCAUAUCAAGAUACUGAACUAAAUACUGGCCUCUAGCUGAUCGACAGUAUACCUGGGAAGGGCCAUACAGGAAGAAAUGGAAGCACUGGGUCCUACCUGCUAUAUUUGCUUAGGAUGCUAGUGGCCAUCAUCUUUAUAUGGCCACUGGAAUUAAUUUGGCUUGAAAAGGCAUGCACCAUGUUUCCUGCACACCCUUCUUCCCAGCAUGUCUGUAACGUCUGCUGCAGAAACAAAGUGAGCGUAAUUUGUUCUCAUACUUUUAAUGAAAGAAGAUAAAGAAGGACAUGACAAACAUGGAGUUACUUGCUGCAAAACUUAAACAGUAAUCUUUAAAGCAAUCCUAGAGUAAGGAACAAGAAAACAACCAAACAAAGCAGAAAGAGGAACAGCUUUCAACAGCAUAAGGAAAAAUGCUUCCCAUAUCAGCAGCAGUUGCCUAUACCGUAUUUAUAGCCAUUCCAGAAAAUGAAAUAAAAAUAUUGGAAAUUACUCUAACAGUUAAGGUUUUCUAAUACAUUAACUAAAACACAUAAAAAUGAAAUCCCAACUGCAUUUUUCUACAAAGGCUUUAUACAGUGACUUACAUUAAUUUUUCUGUGUAAGUUAUGAAAAUACUCAGUAGUCAAAAUACUGCCAUAGAAAUGGAAUAAGGCUAAAUUAAAAAAAAAAAAGUAUUUUUCAGCUUAUGUUCUAACCAAAGUGCUCACAGGGGAAGAGCUUUGCUACAUUUCCUUUCCCCCCAAAUAAGGUUCUUUAUAAAACAAGGCAAAAAGUGAGGAAAAAAUGGUUACAUUCAAAAAGCUAUAUUUUAUUGUUAUGGCAACUGAUGUGCUAAAAAUAAAGAAAUAAAGUUGUUAUGGCAACUAGAAUUUUAAAGGCAGUCAAAAGUAGAAUAAUCAAACAUUCUGCUGGCUUAAAAUAUAAUGUCUAUGACUCAAUUUUCAGAAAGAGCUUCAGAGACAAGUAGUGGUUGGGUUUUUUUGGAUUCUGCUCUGGAGAUCACAAUUAGUACAAGUUUCAGAGAACUCUACUGAGUACAAGGGAGGAAAUCAAGGUGAACAGAAAAUCAGUCAUUUGAAGUUCUCAUGGUCAGUAGGAAGAAACACACAUAACCUUACAGCCCUUAAUUAAUGUCCUGGUGAUCUUACCUAGAUCCAUAAAAUGUAUCAGCUUAUUAUUAAAAUAAACAGCAAUAGGACAGUAUUUAUGUCAGUCAUCACAACAACUGAAAGGCACUAUGUAACUAGAAGUUACUUAAUGGUUUUAAAUUAAGUACUGAAAAGUUAGGGAAUACCAAAAUUCAUCUGUCUGAAGCAGCAGAGUUCUUCCCCUUUAUAUGUAUGGAAUUAUAAAGACGACUAUAAUUACAAGAUCGUAACAUAUUUACAUUUCUGAUACAUGCUUGAUCAUCAUUACAGGGCUCCUAGCUAUACAAGCACUUCCACAAAAAUCUUAGCGCGCUCACUCACUGUCUCCCAUCCAACACUUGUCAGAUAGUCAACAUUGCUACCUUUGUUAAAAAAUAAACAGAACUAUGCACUGUGAAACAUUCCAAAGCGCGUACUCAGAUCAGACUUAAUUAAUACUAAGCAAAGUAAUUUAACAGAUACUUCAGAGAAUUAUGACUAGAAACAGUAACUUAUACUGGAAAUAUUUGCACUGGAACUAUGUACGUAGCAUGUGCUAGAAUCCCAGUGUAAGCUAAUAUUUUAACAUAGUAUGUGCCUUGUAUUUUGGCUUCACUGCAGUUAAUCAAGGUUCCUCCUAGUGCUACUCUGAACUCUUUUUCCAACCCAUAGGAAAAGCCUCUCAGCCCAGUCCACAAGAGCUUUCAGCACACAGGAGUAGCAUGGCCAAGAAUACAGAUCAAAGUCAGGUUCCUCCUUCACUUGUACUAAAGGGAAAAGAAUCAGAUUAACUCCUUAUUGCAACACAAAAAUCGAGAGAUGUACACUGCAGAUUCAAACCCACACAAGGGAGUGCAGCAAGGAUAACACAGACAAAUUUAAGUAUAUUUUUAUAGUUUUGCUUCCCAGCCUCAGUAUUAACCCUUAAGGCUACAUCCACACUUAACUCAUUUCCUCUUAAGCAUCACAUAAAGCAACAGGUAUUUUACCUGGAGAUGCAAAUAAUGUAGAAAAAUACAUUAACUAAUGGAUCUAUGACAAAGUCAACAGCUUCUGCAAAGGAAACUCCAUGUACAACAGUCACUAUACAUAACUUUUUACCAGACAGGAAAAAUCUUAAGACAUAUGAAUAUCAAGGCUUUAAAUCAAAGUUUUAGAAAUAUUCUGUCUAAGGCUUAAGCUAGGGGAGCCAGGCUGCAUAUUUUCAAGGUUUGUUGCUGACUCAACCAGCUACUGAAGACAAAAGACACGCUGUCCUGAGCUUGCUAUGAAAUUAGUUUCCUCAUUGUAUAAUAUUCUAAACUUAAUCAAGUGCACGGUUGCCUGAAAUGUAAGUCUUCGAGUUCAAAAUAAAAUAUACAGCAGUCCAAGUAUCACUACAGUAUUAACUGACGGCUAUGUAAAUCUAUUGCUCUCAUUCAGUAUCCGGGGGUCACGUAUCUUGUUGUAUCAGGUAUAGCCAUGCUGCACUGAAUAUAUAGAAAUAUAUAUAUGAAAACAUAUAUAAAAGCAUCUCAAAAGGAUAUUUAUUGUAACAUUUUCAGGUGCAUUUUAUCUCUAACAUGUUUUUCUGUAUUUUCAAUUUUCCAUAAAAGAAUUUGAGAGCAAACAUCUUCAUAGAAGGGUAAAGGAAAUCCUGGAAGGUAUGACAACAAAGUCCAAAAAUGCUUUCUGAAGUGACAUUUACAAAUUCAGGAAAGAAAGGUGGCAUCAUUCCAAAAGGUUUGUAAAAGAACUGUUAAGAUCGAUGCAAUGACCAGCCAGCUGGAGACCCGCAUGUCACCUCUGCCAACAGGAACACAGGCUGGAAAUUACAAACCCACCCGCAAUGAGGAAACAGAGAUGAAGAGCAGCAGCACUGUCUAAGAUUACGCAGGCCAAAGCCAGCAAGCUUCUGAGGGAAAAGACCAUACCAUGAGAGCUGUUUGACUCUAAUGAGUACCAAAAACUUGUCAAAAAACCCAGUUUGUUGUCACUAACCAAGAGAAACCCAAGAGAUGUAGGGACAAUGCUGUAGUCAGCGUACCCUGUCCUCCACGUCACAUACAAUUGAACCUGGCCAUGGCAGCUGAACACCUACACCGUGGGGCUUGUGACUACAUGGACAGGAGAAAAUGAAUGUGUAACAUGACUCCCUCAGUGUAUGCGACUGCUUCCAUCUGCCAUAAUUUACUGUUCUUUUCAGCAAACAAGCACUAAAGUUUAAUUUUGUAUCUGGGCCUGCAAAACUUGUUGACCUGAAAGGCCUGCAGAAAUCUGAAACCUCAACUUUAAUUUUUUCCUUUUUGCUUUAUAAUGAGAGGAUCUGUCAUGUAGGAAUCAGAAAUAAUAAUACUGGUCCAAACAGAAUGCAUAAACUACAUAUGUUAGCUCUAAAUUGAUUAGAUUUCAUCCAGCCCAACAAACAACGCAGUUGCUCCAUCUACUGCAGCAAUGGGAUGUACUUUCAUGUAAUUGGUCUGUACUGCAUGAUAAUUAGACCUCUGUGUCCUUUGUGCCAAUUCCAAAUUAUUAUAUAACUGACAAAUUUUUUUCAUGAUAUGGCAAUAUUUAAUCCCCAAAUCAAUGCCUCUCAUAUUUGCUUCAGACUUUGGAAGAAUUCUUAGGAUUUUCACUCUUCUGUAGAGUGGCUUGAAAUGUUAUUGGCCCAGAUGCAAAACACUAUUAGACAGUCAGCAGACAAAGCUAUUUUUUGGCCAACUCUUCUGAAGCCUGACCCUUUAAUUAGUUAUUAUCUCUAACUGUUCUGGGCACAUGCUCAUAUUGCCAAAGGAAAUUAUGACAAUAAACAAAUAAUCUUAUUUUUGGUUUUCUUACAAGUCAUUUGGAAGGACAGCCAUUUAGUCUUCUUUAAGACCUUCAACUCAAAGUCACCAUCCAUCUCAAAAUGGGCAAAUUCAUAUGCAAACUUCUGUUGCUUUUGAGUAACAUACUACCAACAUCUACUUUUUCUGAAACCAGGUUUCUUUUUCUGAUCAUACUUUAAAAAAUAGCAACAACAAAACAAAUUGUUUUCUUAAACCAGAGCAGCAGCAGCAUUUAAAAGUAGCUGUUAGAUGAACUUCAUACACACAGCUCAUCUCUUAAAGGAAAUCAGACUGUAAACCGAGAGUCUCUUAUACAGAAAUGAUACAUUUAACAAUCAUAAAUCCUGCCUUAAAAUGGUUUGUCCAAAAGUUUUUCAAACUACAGAAAGUGGAUGUCUGCCUUAUUUUUCUGCUUUAUUUUACUUAUGCAACUACAUACAACCUGGAGAGGUGUUACUUUCUAAACUCAGGAGAAAGGACUUGAGCAUAGGUAACCAGUAACAGCACUACAAAACAGGCACCCAGUCCAUAACACUGAAAAGGAUGGAAAGAAGCCUUGCCCUGCAAAUUCAGCAGUGGGAACACAUACAAGAAUAAAACCACCUAAAACACAAAAGCAAAAUGUUAGUAAUAAGCAGCAUAAGGUGUAAUAAAUAAAACAUCUGUCCCAAUUCAGAUGCUACAAGUGUUCUACAGUAAGUUGCUUUAUGACUGGCAUCAAGUGACAGCAGAUUUCUAACGAUGUGCACAUCGACAGUGCCUGACACCUCUUCCGAAAGGGACAGUGUGAAGUAAGGGCAGCAGAGUGGGGCAAGGUAGAGUAUAACUAUUGCUGAAGACGAUUACCAGUCACCUCAACUAUCAAUAGGGUAAACUGUGGCUUGCCACUGGACCAUAUAUCGGAGCUCAAAAUAUAUCUUGUCAUGGGAAAAAUUCAUCCGAGACUCUUGAGAUGAACCAGCAAGGCUGAACAUGAAAUAAUGUCAAGUAGGCAGGAGAAAACAAUCAAUGAAGUGACCCUAGCUUAUGCAUGGUUUUCUACUUAACAAACGGAUAUGAUACACUUUUACAAAAGCUCUGUGGACAAGUACCAGUAUUACACCUUCAUUAUCAUCACACAAGCAGAUUUUUCUCACUUUGAUUUGUGUUUUCCUUAAAAUAAAUAAAUAACAAAUAAAUAUUUUAAAAUAUG